rnacentral:SRP_RNA from 1 species
GCUGGGUAUGGUGGCAUAUGCCUGUAGUCCCAGCUACUCAGGAGGCUGAGGUUGGAGGAUCGCUGGAGCCCAGGAGGUCAAGGCUGCAGUGAGCCGAGAUUGUGCCACUGCACUCCAGCCUGGGCAACAGAGUGAGACCUUGUCUCAA